UUUCAAACCGGGUGAGUGCUUUGCUAAUGUGCCACAUUUCAACACAUACGACGAGAAGUGAGACUGUUUUAUUUCCUGCUUCUUUGCUUUCAAAGACACAAGACAACAUUUCCUUUAUGUGGCUCAAUAUUUAAGAUGUGGAUCUAAUGAAAGAGUGAUUUUCUUUUGAAAUAUCCUGUAUAUUUGGGAGGAUGUGGCAUUUUUUCUUUCUUUUCCUCUCAGCUGGAGCAGUAAAUGCUUUCAUUCCAGUUGCGGAUACGAAAUGUAACAUCACCCAGACGUCCACGUGCCCCGUCACUAUCCAAGGCUCUGCUUACAUCCAGUUGAUGAACAAUGCCAGCAGCUACCAGGUCCGCUGCAGGAAGCAGCUCUCCAGUGGGUCCAUAAAUGUGUUCCACCUGAAGAAAGACAUUGUGAAGAUUCAGGAGGCGUUAGGAAACAGAGCAGAGUUCUUCAUCAACAACGGGACACUGAAAAUCACCAAUGUGUGGUGGAAUGAUUCAGGCCAAUACAUUGCAGAAGUUUUUGAUUCAAACGGCAUCCGUUUCAAAGAGAUUACAUUGGAACUGGAUGUUAAAGAAAACCUUUGGACCAUCCUGAUCCCAGUCCUUGCUGCGCUGGUUGCUCUAGUUAUACUGGUGAUCUGCUGUUGUGUGUGCAGAAGAGUGAAGCGUCUUAAAAAAGCAGAUUCACCUACCUGCACCUCACUAUGGAUGAAAUCUCCUUAACAUUUAUAUGGACUUUAAAUCUGCUGAGGACAAACAAACCAACAAUGACUCAGCCUCUGACUUAAAAUCGUCCUUAAAAAUCUAAAUGUCCUGUAUUUGAUAAAAAAAAUUUUUUUUUAAUAAAACCAUGAAAAUGUUGGAUGUCCCA
rnacentral:lncRNA from 1 species